AGGGUGUAAACGCUGCGGGCUUGGUGUUGGGGGUCCUUAGUGGGCGCCCAGUGCCGGAGAGAAGUUGUUAAGCCUGCUGCUUGGGGAGUAUGUCCGCAAGGAUGAAACUUAAAGGAAUUGGCGGGGGAGCCCCGCAACGGGAGGAGCGUGCGGUUCAAUUGGAUUCAACGCCGAAAAACUCACCAGGAGCGACGGAUAUAUGAAGGCCAGGCUGAUGACCUUGCCUGAUUUUUCCGAGAGGAGGUGCAUGGCGUAGUCGUGU
rnacentral:rRNA from 1 species